GGAUGUGAGAGUAAUUGAAUUGUGACAUCUGUGACUUCCUUUUGCUCCAUGUGUGACACUCCAUAUGCUGCAUCCUGGGUAGAAGGGGACAACCUUUCCUAAUAGAGAAGCACCUGCCUUUGCUCAAGUGUAUAUGAGUAUCUGUGCUCCUUUGCUACAAACCCCAACUAGCUCUCAAUGUUCAUUUGUAGAGAGUAAGGAAGAGUCAACCUUCUAAGACUCCAGACUUAUCCAAAUGAGGUACUUCAUUU
rnacentral:snRNA from 1 species